GACGAACGCUGGCGGCGUGCUUAACACAUGAAAGUCGAACGGAAAGGCUCCAGCUUGCCGGAGUACUCGAGUGGCGAACGGGUGAGUAACACGUGGGUAAUCUGCCCUGCACUCUGGGAUAAGCCUGGGAAACUGGGUCUAAUACUGGAUAUGACCUUUCUCCUUAUGGGGUUUGGUGGAAAGUUUUUCGGUGUAGGAUGAGCCCGCGGCCUAUCAGCUUGUUGGUGGGGUGAUGGCCUACCAAGGCGAGGACGGGUAGCCGGCCUGAGAGGGUGAUCGGCCACAUUGGGACUGAGAUACGGCCCAGACUCCUACGGGAGGCAGCAGUGGGGAAUAUUGCACAAUGGGCGGAAGCCUGAUGCAGCGACGCCGCGUGAGGGAUGACGGCCUUCGGGUUGUAAACCUCUUUCAGCAGGGACGAAGCGUAAGUGACGGUACCUGCAGAAGAAGCACCGGCUAACUACGUG
rnacentral:rRNA from 1 species